rnacentral:rRNA from 1 species
AAUGCUGACAUAAGUAACGAUAAAGCGGGUGAAAAGCCCGCUCGCCGGAAGACCAAGGGUUCCUGUCCAACGUUAAUCGGGGCAGGGUGAGUCGACCCCUAAGGCGAGGCCGAAAGGCGUAGUCGAUGGGAAACAGGUUAAUAUUCCUGUACUUGGUGUUACUGCGAAGGGGGGACGGAGAAGGCUAUGUUGGCCGGGCGACGGUUGUCCCGGUUUAAGCGUGUAGGCUGGUUUUCCAGGCAAAUCCGGAAAAUCAAGGCUGAGGCGUGAUGACGAGGCACUACGGUGCUGAAGCAACAAAUGCCCUGCUUCCAGGAAAAGCCUCUAAGCAUCAGGUAACAUCAAAUCGUACCCCAAACCGACACAGGUGGUCAGGUAGAGAAUACCAAGGCGCUUGAGAGAAC